AGGGUUUUGGCGGCUUCCCGAGUUCCCCUCGCCGACCGCCAUUUCGCGUCUUACGGGAGAGGCGGGGGCUGCCGCGGAGAGGAUAUUUUUUGUUUUGUUUUGUUUUCACAAGAAUUGCCUGGAUGCUUCUAAAGAGGAUGUCUACCAGACCCCAUCCCGCACUAAUUAACUUAGAAGUGGGAACCCUUUUGUGGAAUACAUCAGUUAAAAUCUCAAGAAACCCUGAGGCAGAGGAUUAAGAGAUGCUAAAAAGAAGUCUGUGUGCUUAGCCUGCUCCGAACAGGAACACAGCUCUCAAAUGAAUGCAUGUGCAGUGUGUGUGCAGUAACCAGCAGCCAGACGUAUGGACAGGGCAUGGUCCUUUUCUAACUCCAUGUGUAAUAAUUGCAGGACUCCCUUCCCAGACAAGACUGCUCACUCCUACAGAAAAUGACCUUGUUUUUGAGAGCUGCUGCUAAUUUACAGUGAGGCACUAGGUUUCUAUCCAGUGCACAUGAGCAACCAAUCCAUCUACCCAGGGCACGCCACUGAUGAGCAGCAUCGUUUAGACGGGAAGAAGUAUGGGUGGUGUUUGCUGUGUGUUAAGGAAAAUCCAGUGGCAAGCUCCAUGUUUUGUUCACGUGACUCUCACCCUAGUGUGGCCUGGACUCCAGUCCCUGGCUCAAGGAAAG
ensembl:processed_transcript RIKEN cDNA E130307A14 gene